UGAGGGAAUAUUGGGUCAAUGGGCGAGAGCCUGAACCAGCCAAGUAGCGUGCAGGACGACGGCCCUAUGGGUUGUAAACUGCCUUUAUGCGGGGAUAACGUGCACCACGUGUGGUGUAUUGCAGGUACCGCAUGAAUAAGGACCGGCUAAUUCCGUGCCAGCAGCCGCGGUAAUACGGAAGGUCCGGGCGUUAUCCGGAUUUAUUGGGUUUAAAGGGAGCGUAGGCCGGAGAUUAAGCGUGUUGUGAAAUGCCGCGGCUCAACCGUGGCACUGCAGCGCGAACUGGUUUUCUUGAGUACGCACAACGUGGGCGGAAUUCGUGGUGUAGCGGUGAAAUGCUUAGAUAUCACGAAGAACUCCGAUUGCGAAGGCAGCUCACGGGAGCGCAACUGACGCUGAAGCUCGAAAGUGCGGGUAUCGAACAGGAUUAGAUACCCUGGUAGU
rnacentral:rRNA from 1 species